rnacentral:rRNA from 1 species
UACGAGGGGGGCAAGCGUUGUUCGGAAUUAUUGGGCGUAAAGAGCUCGUAGGCGGUCUGUCGCGUCUGCUGUGAAACUCGGGGCUUAACCCCGGGCCUGCAGUGGGUACGGGCAGACGUAGACGUGCGGUAGGGGAGACUGGAAUUCCGUGGUGUAGCGGUGAAAUGCGCAGAUAUCAGGAGGAACACCGGUGGCGGAAGGCAAUCCCCUGGGCCUGUACUGACGCUCAUGCACGAAAGCGUGGGGAGCAAACAGG